GUAACACUGCCGGCUCAGACGCCCUGUGUAUGCUCACUAGAAGGAAUUUAUCAGUUUUUCUAACGUUGUUUUGGUGUUGUAGCGUGGAUGGUGAACUCUGAUAACGCUAGUGUGAUGGAAAAACCUUUGACAGGCCCGCUGACUGUGGCUUGUCGCUGGCUGGUCUCACACAUCAUUCACUAAUGAGUGAGUGACAUCUGCUGGGGGCCUGUGUGACAGAGCACUGUCACCCUGCCUGACACUGGGAAAACAUGUCUAUUCAUCCGUCCAUCCAUCCAUCCAUCCAUCCUGCUUCUGUCCCACAGCCGCAGCAGGCAUGUUGUAAAAUGUAAAAGUCGGUUGGGGUGGAGGGUGUGCAGAGAAAGAUGGCAGCGCCUGCCGGUCCAACCCAAACAGCCUUCCUCCUUCCUGACUCCCUCUCCUCUCCCCUCCUCUCUGUGGAAACCAUCUCUUAAUACAUCCUGAGAAAUUGAGGUUAAGAGGGGAUAUCCAGGGGGUUAUCGGCAUCGCAGCGCUCAGCGUGGGGAGAUUGAUGGUCUUAAGAGGCCGGGGUGCCGUGGUCAUAUUCAUAUGGUAAUUCCUCCCUAUUGUCCCUGCGGAAAUCGAGGCUUUCUUUAAUCUGAGAGGGAGGCCUCCUCUCCCUGUCUCUGUUGAAACGAAGCCUAGCGUCACUUUAUCAUCUCCACAGAUGCUGAUGAUGACGAUGGGUGGCCGAUGACGUCUGGAUGGAUGUAUCACAGUAACAUGUUUUGUGUGUGUGUAAAUUGAAAAAGGAGAAGAGGUGGGAGCAUAGGAUAAUGUUAGGAUAAUGUUAGAGGGUGUUUUGGGGAGGGGGACAUGGUGAAUAUAAUGAUAACUCUAUACUGGAUGUUAUUUUAAUCCCACUUCCUCCGAGAAAAAGGAAAGAUAACUUCAAUCCAUUUGUGACUAAGAAGCAUUCAGUGCUGAUAAUUUCAACUCCUGAAGUCCAAUUCUGAGACAAUAAUCCUCUGUGAUAAAGGCAUUUUGGUUUUACACUUGGGAUUGUAUGAAUGCAUCAUACCUUUUUAUUUUGUUAUCUUUUUUGUUAUGCUUGUAUUUUUCAAAGUGGCAUAUUUGCUCAGAUUGAGCAAACAGAUUUUGGGGAAGAGAAAAGUUUUAUUAUGGCGUUUUAUCAAAAUAAGAAUGAAAGCCUCAUCUUUUAAACCCUCCAUCAAAUCAACCUCUAAAGCUGAAAUCCACAACUUUACACAUGUUUUUGUCCCGGUAUGUAUUAACAAUAAAAAAAUAU